rnacentral:rRNA from 1 species
CCUCACCUCACCUCUUCUAUUCCCCCAAGUCGCGCCCCCAAAUCAAAAUCAGCCAGCCUUCCACCCUCGAUUCCAUCCGCCACCGACCACCCUUCGCCGCUCCCGUCGACCUCAGCGACAGCCGAUAACCCUUCGCCGUCCCCGACCCUAGCCUCACCCUUCCCCGCCCCCGACCACCCUCCACCGUCCCCAAACCCCUACCGCUCCCGGCUUCCUUCCCAACCACCGUGGCGGGCAAGGGUUUGACCGUCGGCCCUCCUGGCCGUCCUCCGGUUGGUCGCUAGAGGAAAUGGCUUCCACCCUCCUUCCAAAGCUUGUGACCACGGAUCUGGCUCCUCCCACCAUUCCUUCCCCUCUCCUGCUUGGAGCCGCGUGUGACCACGGAUCUGGCUCUCCUCCACCAACGGCAGCUGGGAUGGCGCGGAUCCACCUCUUCUCCACAAGCACCGGCCGAGACGACGUGGAUUCGCAUCUCCUCCUCCCUCCCUGCCAUGGCCGCCUUUAUCUGCUGCGCCCCCCGCCUCGCAGCUCUGCUUCUGAAUGGAGAUCUAGAGGAGUACCCGCCGCUCACCGUGGCUUCAAUCCUUCUUCCCAACUGGCCCCAGAGACACAACGUUAAGGGUGCAAGCUCGACUGAUUCAACAGUCUGCCUUGGCGUGAUGGCUCCCCGUCAACAACCAGGUUGACCAUGGCCUAUGCUAGCUUCAGUUCCUUCCCCUGUCCCAGUCUGCUGGAAGUGUCUCUGCUGCCUCCCCAAGAUGCUGGAAGGUCACCCCCAUCGAUGCUCUUUCCGCCACUUCCACAAGCCACCAAACUGAAAAAGAAUGGAAAAGGAAGAGAAGAAGACAAUGCUGAAGCACAAGAGCAAGAGAGGCUAGCUAUACUUAAAGCAAGGAACAACGAGGAUUCUGAACGAUUUGGGUCCUUUAAAUUUUCAAAUCUAAAUGAAGAUUUUGGAGGCCGAGCCAGUCAGGGACAAAAUAAAAGGAAGAAGGGACCCUGAUUGCUUUGCGUGGACACUGUUUGCUUAUUUCUCUUGGAGGGUUACUAAAAUGCGGUGUCUACCUUGUGUUGGAAAAACUUGAACUCCAGGUCUACCGGAGUUUAGUGAAGAAAAUGCAUAUCAUCCAGAGGGAGAAGGAACCAUGGUCUAAGGCGCAUCAAAUCAAGCUAGAGGUCUCUGCAUCCAUUUUAGUCGAGUAGCAGUCUUGCGAAAGGUUUCCCAAAGAUACACUACUUGAUGGAGGUUUGGAUGAUCUACAAGCUGCUGAAGGUUUGCAAGAUCUGCUAUUAAGUUGGUGGAGUGAUAAUGUAAUGCGCUUUGUUUGUUGAACCUGGAGACAUUGGCAAGUUGUGCUCAUUUUGGUGGUUGUUUUGGCACAUAGGCCACUAUAUGGCCAUUUUGGUUGUGGGACACAUGUAGAAACAUAUAUACUUCUCCCAUUGUGGCACUACUUCAUUUUGGUUGUGUGGCACAUCUAUCUAGAAACAUGUAUGUACUCCUUUUGUGGCACAGUCUGCUUAUAUAUAUUCUUAUGUUUAUGGAAUGAAGUUUAAGGUUUCUGAUGAGGCCUAUAUGUUACUUUGAAGUGUAUGUAUAAAUUGUGUGAGGUGUCCUGAUUGCUUAACAUAAUGAAUGGAUAUU